rnacentral:rRNA from 1 species
GCAGUCGAGGGGCAGCAUUUUAGUUUGCUUGCAAACUGAAGAUGGCGACCGGCGCACGGGUGAGUAACACGUAUCCAACCUGCCGAUAACUCCGGAAUAGCCUUUCGAAAGAAAGAUUAAUACCGGAUGGUAUACGAAUAUCGCAUGAUAUUUUUAUUAAAGAAUUUCGGUUAUCGAUGGGGAUGCGUUCCAUUAGUUUGUUGGCGGGGUAACGGCCCACCAAGACUACGAUGGAUAGGGGUUCUGAGAGGAAGGUCCCCCACAUUGGAACUGAGACACGGUCCAAACUCCUACGGGAGGCAGCAGUGAGGAAUAUUGGUCAAUGGGCGAGAGCCUGAACCAGCCAAGUAGCGUGAAGGAUGAAGGCUCUAUGGGUCGUAAACUUCUUUUAUAUGGGAAUAAAGUUUUCCACGUGUGGAAUUUUGUAUGUACCAUAUGAAUAAGGAUCGGCUAACUCCGUGCCAGCAGCCGCGGUAAUACGGAGGAUCCGAGCGUUAUCCGGAUUUAUUGGGUUUAAAGGGAGCGUAGGUGGAUUGUUAAGUCAGUUGUGAAAGUUUGCGGCUCAACCGUAAAAUUGCAGUUGAAACUGGCAGUCUUGAGUACAGUAGAGGUGGGCGGAAUUCGUGGUGUAGCGGUGAAAUGCUUAGAUAUCACGAAGAACUCCGAUUGCGAAGGCAGCUCACUAGACUGUCACUGACACUGAUGCUCGAAAGUGUGGGUAUCAAACAGGAUUAGAUACCCUGGUAGUCCACACAGUAAACGAUGAAUACUCGCUGUUGCGAUAUACAGUAAGCGGCCAAGCGAAAGCAUUAAGUAUUCCACCUGGGGAGUACGCCGGCAACGGUGAAACUCAAAGGAAUUGACGGGGGCCCGCACAAGCGGAGGAACAUGUGGUUUAAUUCGAUGAUACGCGAGGAACCUUACCCGGGCUUAAAUUGCAACAGAAUAUAUUGGAAACAGUAUAGCCGUAAGGCUGUUGUGAAGGUGCUGCAUGGUUGUCGUCAGCUCGUGCCGUGAGGUGUCGGCUUAAGUGCCAUAACGAGCGCAACCCUUAUCUUUAGUUACUAACAGGUCAUGCUGAGGACUCUAGAGAGACUGCCGUCGUAAGAUGUGAGGAAGGUGGGGAUGACGUCAAAUCAGCACGGCCCUUACGUCCGGGGCUACACACGUGUUACAAUGGGGGGUACAGAAGGCGGCUACCUGGUGACAGGAUGCUAAUCCCAAAAACCUCUCUCAGUUCGGAUCGAAGUCUGCAACCCGACUUCGUGAAGCUGGAUUCGCUAGUAAUCGCGCAUCAGCCAUGGCGCGGUGAAUACGUUCCCGGGCCUUGUACACACCGCCCGUCAAGCCAUGAAAGCCGGGGGUACCUGAAGUACGUAACCGCAAGGAGCGUCCUAGGGUAAAACUGGUAAUGGGCUAAGUCG